CAGCCGUAAACUAUGCGCGUUAGGUGUACUGGUGACCACGAGUCACCGGGGUGCCGAAGGGAAACCGUGAAACGUGCCGCCUGGGAAGUACGGUCGCAAGGCUGAAACUUAAAGGAAUUGGCGGGGGAGCACCGCAACGGGAGGAGCGUGCGGUUUAAUUGGAUUCAACACCGGGAAGCUCACCGGAUAAGACAGCGGAAUGAUUGCCGGGCUGAAGACUCUGCAUGACUAGCUGAGAGGUGGUGCAUGGCGUAGACGUCU
rnacentral:rRNA from 1 species